GAGCGAAAGCAUUAAGUAUCCCACCUGGGAAGUACGAUCGCAAGAUUGAAACUCAAAGGAAUUGGCGGGGGUCCGCACAAGCGGUGGAGCAUGUGGGUUAAUUCGACGAUACGCGAGGAACCUUACCUGGGCUAGAAUGUAACUUGACCGAUCCUGAAAGGGGUCUUUAUAGCAAUAUACAGGUUACAAGGUGCUGCAUGGUUGUCGUCAGCUCGUGCCGUGAGGUGUUGGGUUAAGUCCCGCAACGAGCGCAACCCCUAUCUUUAGUUGCCAGCGAGUCAUGUCGGGGACACUAAAGAGACUGCCUGCGUAAGCAGAGA
rnacentral:rRNA from 1 species